UGAUGAGUAAUCAAAACUUUCACCAUUUGACUGCACUUUCAGUUCAUUAUUCUGUGUAAUACUGGAUGGAACGCGAGAACUUUUAGCGUCAGUAACUGUGCCUGCAAGCAUGAUAGAAACAAGGGUGAAAGUCAGAGCGCUAAAAUUGCAGCUUAAAGACCCAGAUGAAAGAGUUGGUCCACAACAAAAUUUCAGGUGUCUUAAUGGAGGCAAUCUUGUUCGAGGCACAAUUAAGCACUAAACAUGAGCACUUUCCCUAAUGGGGAUUUGAACCUUAGUUCACUAUGUUGUGAAGGACUAGUCCCUUUCACUAAACCCAACCCCCUCAAUUUGCAUCUUAGUGUCUCUAAACUUCAAAGAGCAUUGCAGAUCAUUUUUUAUCAUUAUUUG